rnacentral:rRNA from 1 species
AACUUCUGAAUGUUGACCUCGGAUCAGGUAGGAAUACCCGCUGAACUUAAGCAUAUCAAUAAGCGGAGGAAAC